rnacentral:lncRNA from 1 species
GACACUAUUACAGAUAGAAUGACCACAACCAUAUUAACAAACCAAAAACCUGUGCACAGAAACAAGAUGAAGAAAAUAUAUCAAGAUGUUAACCACACUCUUUGGAUGGUGAAAACAUGGGUGAGUUUCUCUUCUACAUUUCUGUAACUUCAAAGUUUCUAUAAUGAACACAUUUCAUAUAUAAUGGAAAUAUAUGUAGUAAAGGUGGACUACCAAAACACUAGAAUGAUGACCUUUCAAGGAAACCGAAACAAAAUAACCAUAAUCCCACAACAACCACACAACUAUUUCUUGUUUUUCAUCUUUCUUCCCAUCUUUGACAUUUAUGCAUACUUAUCACUAACACCCUAAUAAUCACAGACUAGUGCACAGAUCAAGAUGUUAACAGUUAAUUGUUGUUGGGUGUUGGGAAUAUGUGUGAAUUUUCUUUACUGAAUUUCCAAAGUUUUGUAUGAGUAUGUAUUAUAUUUGUAAUGGAAAAUACAUACAUAAAAUUUAUUACCAAAACACCAAAGAUUAUUUAAGGAAUUUGAGACAAAAUAUUUAACCAAAUUCCCACAAUGACAACACUAUUUUAGUUAUUUUCCACAUCUUUUCAUUUAAGACUUUAUGCACACAUAUUUAACACUGUUAUCACAAGCGUGUGCACUGAAACAAGAUAGAGGAAACAGAUCAAGAUGUUAGCAGUAGUUGUUAGGUGUUGGGAAUAUAGGUAAUUUUUUAAAAUAAUUUACUUUAUUUUCUAAUUUUUCCUCUGGGUAUGUAUUAUGCACACCAAUGGAGACACACAUAAUACACUGUUAUCAGGACAUUAUUAUAGGGAACAUUUGAAAAAAUUAAAGUGAAAGUAUUUAACCAUAAUUCCACAAAGGUAAUGUAACAGCUAUUUUGAAUAUACAUUUUGACACAGUUAUAAUCAUAAACCUGUGCACAGAAACAAGAAUGAACAAGAUAAGAGGAGAGUAUAUGUCUUUGGAUGGUGGGGAUAUGAUUUUUUUUCCUCCACUUUUCUGUAUUUUCCAAGUGUGUGAUAAUGAGUUCAAAUUAUGUUCACAAUGAAAAUGUGAUCAUAAACUUUUUAGUAACACUACCAUAAAGAACAUUCAAGAAAUUUAAGAAAAUAAUGCUCAACUAUAAGCCUACAACAACAACACCACAACAGCUUUUGACUAUAAGCAUAUAUAUUUUUAAACAGUUAUAAUGAACUGUUUAAAUGAACUGUUAAAUGAACAGCAUAUAAAUGAACUGUUGAGUUAUAACUGUAGUAUAAAUAUACUUUCGUGUCCUGCUUUCUCCACUUAAUGUUCUGUAAAUAUAUUUCCACGUUGCUACAUAACUCGUGAUUAUCAUUUUUAAACAGUUGCAUUAAGUGUCCACAGAUAGGUUUAAACAAUCAUUCUCUUGUUUACCAUUUGUUACUACCUUUUCACUAGCUGAAGGUUGGAACGGACACCCUGACUUACAGCAAGUUGCUUUCUGAAAAGGGGCUACCACUGCCAACAAUGUUAACACCAAGUAAUGUACCCACAAAGUUCACCCCGACAUCAACACUGAUUCUCGUUUCAAGAGUCCUUUUCCCAUGUAGUAAACCUCACUGCCCCUCAGCUUUCCCGAUGUCCGUUCCAACCUCAGUCCUUCCUAUGCAGCCAGCCCUCACCUACACCAUACCAUCAAAAACUCCUUUUCCAAACUGCUCAGGACACCCCGCUCAAUUCAUUCUCAGAAACCUGGCCUUCUACAGUUCUUGCCUCUGGUGUUUUCUUCUGUCUGUCUCCUCUCCCCUCCUAGAUCUGGUGAUAUAUUAGGACUCCCUUCUUUGACUCACUCAUUUCUGCUUCUUGCUCUCAGCUCUACAAUCUUCCUAAACUUUGACACUCCCUGCAUCUUUGACAUACUUCCAAGCCCUAAUCCUGCAGAUCCAGAAGAGUAAGAUUCAGACACAUUUCCCCCAGUGGGUACUUUAAUUUUGCUUGUUCAAAUGAUCUACACUUACAUUUUGCAAAUCUUUUUUUUUAAAUUUUUUAAAUUUUAUAUUUUUUUUCCAGCCAACUCAAGGCCAAAAAAAAUUUCUUAAUAUAGUUAUUAUGCGAGGGGAGGGGAAGCAAAGGAGCACAGGUAGUCCACAGAAUAGGACACAAGAAACCUCAAGCUGUGAGGUCAAUUUGUAAUUAAAAGAAUACUAAGAUUAGAUGAACACAACACUCAGAAAUACUCUAGGAGAGCUGAAAAAGAAGGAACAGAUGUUAACAAAACAAAUUAAGGCUGCUGGGGAACCUGAGUCCAUGUUAAGCUUGGGUUGACUGUAAAGAAUUUUUUUUUUUUUAAUGCAAGUUAGACAUGGAGUUAGAGGGUCAGAUAAAUAACGAAGAGAAUUAAGUUAGCGAUAGAAAGAUCUAAGGAUACUAGCUCCUGGGCACCUAGGGUGCAAACUGACUUGUGGCAGCAUAAGCUGAUGCUGCACAGGGGACCCAAGCCAUGUUGCUACUUGUCACUUAAGGCAGGAAGCGCACAAAGGAAGUGAUGGUUGUAACCCAUUCUUUAAAGGCAAAGAUGUAAGAUUUACAGGGAAAAGCUUCGGGUUUUAUCAAUUCACUAUCAUCAAACACAUAUUGAGUUGGUUAAAAAAAAAAAAAACCCAGAACACAAAUGUGUAAUAUUUUUGCAUGAGAACCACUUCAACAAACAUAACAUGUGGCAACCAAUCAAUCUGGGUCACAAAAAGCCAAUCCGUAUAUUGUAAAGCCUUACACAGUAUUAGGUUCCAAAGUGUUGGCGCAGAUGAAAUGGCUGCAGAAAGAAGCUAAAGUACUUAUCUUUUCAAACAGUAAGGAGUAAAAGCCAUGUUAUCUAUCAUGCCUACAGCUUCACAAGACUAUUUAAGGGUAAGAAACAAAACAAUUACUCAAAAAGAUAUUGACAGGGUUCAAAUAAUGCACAAUAAAUCUUUCUCAGGAUCUAAGACACUUAAAAAUAUAAUCAAAUUUGUUGCUCUCUUCCUCCUCCAAAAAAAAAAAAAAUUCAAAGAAUACCAGGUAAGGUACCUCUGCAGAGUAAACUGUAACUGUAUAUCAUAUAAAUCCAAAUAUAUGUGAUCACUGUUCUGUCAUAAUUUGCUAUUUUAUAUACACCUCAUGAAACACUAUAUAUACGUUACACAAGUGUCAUUUACAGUUGAUUUGGGCAAACUCUGUAGUCUGGAAUACUCAUAGGGUUUUCUCAAUCUGAUUACUUGGAAAGGUAAGAUGUGUGCUAUGGCUUUCCCACAUGCAGACACUGACAUCUGAAGGGGAAAGCUUAAGACUGUGGAAUCUGCACAUUCGGUCUCUUUUCAAUCUGAGUUUAGAGAUGUUAAGUCAGGUGUGUAACACACUAAGGUUAAGUCUCCUACUGACAUUAUCAUGGAUUGGUUUGGAUUCUCUGUGGUUUGGUAAGGGUCAAGUCCUAGGUGAAGGUUUUCUAACCUUUACCCCAUGCCCUCAGCCAGUGUGGGUAUUCUGGUGUCUGGCGAGGGACAGGCGGUCAUUGAAGAGCUGCCCACAGACGUCACAUUUGAAGUACUUCUCAUCAGCUUGAUUGGCACCACCUGUGCUGGUGCUGGCACGUUCGAUGUAGCCUGAGCACUCCCCAAAGGCAUUUGCAGGCUCAAAUAUGAUCAUGCUGGCAUGAGUUUUCAGGUGUUCACUGAAUGCUGUGCUGGAAGUGAAGGUUUCUGUGCAUUCAUGGCAGUCAUAGUAUGGUUCUUCUACCUGAAUCUCUUGAUCUUCACCUUCUUCUGGGUCUUCAAUUCCCACACCGUCAGGCUCGUCGGCAUCUCCCUCUGGCUCUUCAGCUUUUCCCUCUGGCUCUUCAGCUCUUUCUUCUGGGUCUUCAAUACCUGCACCAUCUGGCUCAUCAGCAUCCCCAUUUGGCUGCUCGGCCUCUCCAUUUGGCUGUCCAGCCUCUCCAAUGGGCUCUGCAGCCUCUCCAUCUGGCCCUUCAGCCUCUCCGUUUGGCUCAGCAGCCUCCACUUCUGGCUCAGCAGCCUCCACUUCUGGCUCGGCAGCCUCCACUUCUGGCUCAGCAGCCUCUACGUUUAAGCCCUGAAUCCUCAGAACUACUUGUGGAACAUGGACAUUGGCUUCAACUUCCUGGGCUGCUGCUGCUGCAGCUGCUGCUGCUUCAUCUUCUUCUUCUUCUUCCAGAUGAAGCUCCUUAUGUUUAGUGAGGACUGUGCUAUGAAUAAAGGACUUACCACAAUCCUUGCAUUCAUAGAAUGGUAUAGCUCCUUUGAGGGGCUCAGUAAGAAAUGAGGUGUGAGUAUAGGAGGACCCGUACUCAUAGGGCUCAUUCUUAUGAACAGUUACGUGAUCUGCAAGUUCUGCUGGGUUGACGAAAGAUUCUCCACAGACUGCACAUUCAAAGAGUCUCUCUUCGGUCUGACUUCUCUGAAACUCAGUGAGGGCUAAGCCUGGAAUGAUAGCUUCCUCAGCCAUCUGGCUCUGCUCCAGUAAAUCAUCUUCCCUAUGAAGUCUCAUAUGCUCAUUAAGGGCAGAGCUAUGAAUGAAGCCUUGUCCACACAAAAGGCAUCGAAUGGCCGACCCAGCAAGAGCAGGAUUCCUCUCUGCAGCACGAUUCCUCCGUGGCUUCAUGGGCAAGAGGGCAAUAAAACCAUCAUCACACCCCUUCAUGGAAUACAACUGGUCUUGUUCAUGGAUUCUCUGAUGCUCGAAAAGGAAUGAGCUAUGAAUAAAAGAUUCCCCACACUUUGGACAUUCAUACAGCUGCUCUCCAGUGUAAUCUCUCUGAUACUCGCUGAUGGAAUGGGUGUGAAUUACAGAAUGUGUGUACUCCCGACUGUCAACCAGGCACUUCCUGCUGUGGACUUUCUGAUGGUCUGUGAGGUCUGUGAGAUCCACAAAGCCCAGGCCACAGUCCUCACAUUCAUAGAUUUUGUCAUCAGGGUCAUCCUUCUGAGGGUCUUCCAUGUCUGAGCCUUGAAUGACAGGGUCUUCAAUUGUCUCCUGACCAUGGGUCUCCUCGCUGUGGGUCUCCUCCCCAUCAGUAUUCUCGCCUUGAGACUCCUCGCCAUGAGACUUCUCUUGGUCAUAGAUUUUCUGGUUUGUGUUGAGGUCUUCGCUGGUAGCAAAAAAUUGUCUGAAGUCCUUACAUUUGUUCCGCGCUUGCUCUUUAGCAUACUGCUCUUGGGCGUAACUUGUUUGAGGGUCAGUAGGGGCCAAGCUGCGAAUGACAGACCAUUCAUAGUUUCUGCUUCCAGAGGGCUUCUCCCUAUCAUGAAUCUUCUGGUGCUCAGUGAGGUCAGAGCUAUGAGCAAAGCACUCCCCACACUCCUGACAUUCAUAGAGCAUCCCUCGAGGGCGAAAUGUUUGUUCACCAAAAGGCAGAGAGUGAAUUACAGAGGUCUCAUUGCUCCUAUGCUCAAUGUAUUUCUUUUUAGCACGAGCCUUCUGGUAUUCACGGACAUUUGAGCUGGGAACAGAGAAUUCGCCAUCCUUCUUAAACUCACCAGAUCCCUCUCCAGGAACACUUUUCUGAGGUUUGGCACGGAAUACACUCUGUAUGACAGAGUCUUCAUAGUUGCGAUUCUUACUGCCCCCUUCACAAGGGUUCUCUCUGGCAGGAAUCUUCUGUCGCUUAUCAUUAAGGUCUGAGAUAUAAAUGGAGGAUUCUCCCUUCUCAUUAGAUUCCACCAAUUCAUUUCCAUUGUGACUUCUUGGAGGUUUGGAAGCCACUAAGCUAUGGAUAACAGACCUACUGUAUUCCCUUCCUUCAGAGGUGUUCCCUCCAGCACGAACUCUCUGAUGGUUGAUAGCAUCGAAGCUCUGAAUGGUAGACUCUGCCAUUACUUUUGGUUUACUGGGCCCUGCUACACUGUGACUUUUCUGAGCUUCCACAGAGGCUAAGCUA